rnacentral:sRNA from 12 species
UUUUAGCCCUGAUUGCAGCGGUAUCUUUUUAUUUUUUUCUUUAAAAAAAUAAAAAAUAUAGCGGAAAGCAGGAAUAUGG